rnacentral:lncRNA from 10 species
CUCCCUUCUCCCCUCCUACCUCUUUCCUUUUCCUUUUUCUCCCUUCUGCUCAAACUAGCUUAGUUCUAUUUCUGUGACUUGUGGCCAAAGCCCCUUCACUGUUGCUCUCACCUCCUGGGUAGGCAGCUCCCUGGGAGUGUGGGCUGGGAGUUAGUCUUCCCCCCUGCCUGGCGCACAGGCCGUGGGCCCGGAGGGACAGCUCGGGGAGUGUGUGUUGACCACAUCUGGCCUUCCUCUGGCGUGACUCAGCCUGGAGUCAGCACGUUAUCUGUUCAGGGAAAUGUGCCUUUGAUUCUGUUCCUCGGUGCUUAUAAUUUCAUUAUUAUUUCCGCAAUGACAUCCCAUUGGUCCUCAGUUCCUCAGUUGGUCCUCAAUUCAUUCUGACUCAUUUCACUUGAGUCAUGGCUUAAUUAAGUUGUUCUGUAGCACACAACGGCCAGGGGACUUUCCUUCUUUCCAUGAGUGACUAUUUUUCUCUAGGUUGGGAUCGUUCUCUUUUCCAUUCAUUACUUCUUUUCUCUUGUAUAGCAUAUUUGCCUAGUUGUGCUUUUAUUGUUUUCAUAUUGUUUAUGCCUGCACCAUUCUGACAGGUAACUUCUUGAUCUCUUCCCAACAAUUUGUGACCAGGCUAUUUUGGGCCCGAGCUUAGGUGAGGAGCUGAGAUAUCUUAUGUUGUCUCUACUUUUCUGCAGCCCGAAGGAACGUCUCUGGGUGGAGAAUGAGGAAGUCUCUCUUCCCUGAGAUUUCAUCAGAAGUCCUGCUUUAGGGUACCCUUCUCCAGGGUUGAGAGUAUGGGUACUGCUCAGUAGGAGAUUCCCCUGGGAUCUUGACUGCUCCUGUAAUUCAGAGUAUUGUCUUAGAGACUUUGCUUCCAUCAGAUGGAUUCUGCCGAUGCUUCAGGUUCCCUGGUUCACCCGCUUCUCUGAGCAUCAGUCUCCGUUGUUUUGUUGUGAGACAGAAGAAGGAGAAGGAGGAGGAAGAGAAGGAUGAGGAGGAAAGGAGGAGGAAGAGGAGCAGAAGGAGGAAGGGGAGGGGCAGAACAACCAUCACCAUGGCCAUCCCCCGCCAGAGCACCCACCCCACUUGCUUUCUUCUCCUCUUGGUGUCUGUGAGAAAGCCCAGGAUUUUGUCACCUCCCAGCCCAGUCUCUGGGACGAGGAGCCUCGGUGGCAUGGGUACUCCAGGAUCUUCUGAGUCUUUCUUUGAUCUUCAUUUGAACUUCCACAGGGACAGUUCAGUCGGCUGCCUCACUGGGGACUUCCAUCCUGGCAGUGCCUGGGCUCCUCAGGAAGACAGUGGUCAGUUGAGUCCUUGCCAAGCCAGGCUGGCUUCGAGGAGGAGUGAUUGAGGCGAUUGUUUUCAGUGGCUUUGCGACAAGAUCCCACAUUCAGCCUGAUAAUGCAGACUCUUUCAAGGUAGGGAGUGUGCAUUUAAGUCCAUGAGGAGGAGCUGGCUUCGAGGACACACAACACCUCAAGGCCAGAUGGACAGGGGUUUGUCCAUCCUCGUGGGCUCCGUUCAUCCUGGGGCUCCAGCCUGUUCUUGCUUUCCCACCUGGCAGCCAUCUUCCUGGCCCCACGGACAGCCCUGUGGACUUUAAGCUCCAGUGCCAGAUGGAAAGACAACAGCCUUGGGAGACUGCUUAACAAGCUCCCCAAAGGGUCAGAGCCUGGAAACAAUGUUCCUUCAAUCCUUUGCCAGCAGGGAUCUUCUUUAGUUUCUGCCAAUAAGGGCCACUGGUGUAAAAUUUGGAAACCAGACAAAGAGAAGCUGACUUUUGGCAAUGGCGUGAGACAUGGGCAUCAAUAAAGGCUGGGUGAGCUCUGCCAGUGGCUUUCAGGCGUGAGUCAUCUGUUCACACAGUUGAGAUCUGCAGUGGCUGUCCCUGCAGUCUCCACUUCCUGGAUUCCUGAAUGCUUCCGAAGCUUCCCUGACCUUGACUCUCUCCCCAACAGCUUCGUAAGCCUGUAAUCUCCUGCAUUAAUCUCCUCUCCAUUGAAGGACCUGGAGGGUUUCCAUUUUCCCAGGCAAACCCUGUCUGAGACGUAUCCCCACUAGCACUGCAUAAGAGCUCCCAGGGCCCCACCUCCUCACCACACAGUGCUUGUCAACCCUUCGGUCAGUUGCGGAAGUGAACAAUAGUAUCUCGUUGUAGUUUUAGUUUCAGAAUUGUGCGUGUAGAAUUGAUGUUUUGUUUGUAUGUUUAACAGCCAUUUGUAUUUUCUUUUUUAUAAACCAGGUUCGUAUCCUUUGAUUAUUUUUCUGUUGUGUUAUUGAUGGGUGUUGUCACCUACAUGGAUCAUACCUGUUAGCACACUUAAAAAUUUUUUUAAAAAAUAUCUUUUUAAAAAAUUAAUAAGAAAUAGCACUGUAUGACAUAAAUGGCAAAACUUUUCUCUGGUUUUCAGUUUGUCUUUUGACUUACUUUAUAUGUACUUCUUGACAUGAAGAUUAAAACAUUUUCAUGUAAUCCAACGUUUUUUCUUUUAUGGAUUUCUUUUUUUUUUGGAGACAGAGUCUCACCCUGUGGCCCAGGCUGGAGUGCAGUGGUAUGAUCUCGGCUCACUGCAACCUCUACUUCCCAGGUUCAAGCGAUUCUCA